GAUGAAGAACGCAGCGAAAUGCGAUAAGUAAUGUGAAUUGCAGAAUUCAGUGAAUCAUCGAAUCUUUGAACGCACUUUGCGCCCUUUGGCCAUUCCGAAGGGCAUGCCUGUUUGAGUAUCAUGAACACCUCAACUCUUUAUGGUUUUCCAUGAUGAGCUUGGACUCUGGGGGUUUUGCUGGCUCACAGUCGGCUCCUCUAAAAUAAAUCAGCUUACCAGUGUUUGGUGGGUAUCAUGGGUGUGAUAACUAUCUACGCUUGUGGUUUUUCCACCAGGUAACCUUCAGCAGUGGAGGUUCGCUGGAGCUCAUAGACGUCUCUCCUCAGUGAGGACAGCCCUUUGAACGUUUGAUCUCAAAUCAGGUAGGACUACCCGCUGAACUUAAGCAUAUCCAAUAAGCGGAGGA
rnacentral:misc_RNA from 1 species